rnacentral:rRNA from 1 species
GACGAACGCUGGCGGCGUGCCUAACACAUGCAAGUCUACGAGAAUGAGGUAGCAAUAUCUCUAGUAAAGUGGCGCAAGGGUGAGUAAUAUGUAAGUAAUUUACCUAUGGGCUUGGAAUAACGUCGAGAAAUCGGCGCUAAUACCAAAUAAUGCAGCGGCACCACAUGGUGAUGUUGUUAAAGUUGCAGCAAUGUAACUCCUAUAGAUAAGCUUGCAGCUGAUUAGCUAGUUGGUAGUGUAAUAGACUACCAAGGCAACGAUCAGUAGCUGGUCUGAGAGGAUGAUCAGCCACACUGGAACUGAGACACGGUCCAGACUCCUACGGGUGCUG